CUUCUUUGCAGUGUUCAGAAAACUCAUUAGCUUCCAACCUCCUCAAUUAGGCAGAACAAACAUGCAUUACUCCAAAUUGCCCCGCACUGCGAUAGAGACAGAGUUCAAGCAGAAUGUUGGCCCACCACCCAAGGAUCUGACCGCUGAAGUUUACUUCCCUUCAAUCAAAUCGAGAUCACAUCUUCCUGCAGUUUUCUAUAAUCAGUAUUUCAAGCAUCCAAAAUGUGUAGGAGAAUAUGGACCCAAGAACGGAGCAGAGAGACAAAUAGAGGAACGGAAAGUUUUGCCUACAACCAUGAUGUUCUCAAUGUUAGCUGACUGUGUUCUAAAAUCCACUCCAAUUCCCAUUUUGGGAGUUGCUAUGUGAUGAAGGUCUGCCCCUGUGGUGUUGGGACAACUUGCUCAUGGAGUUGCAGUUCUUGCCUAACAGGAACCCACCAUGGUAAGAAAAAGACUCAAGCUGGUUUAUUUGUUUUUAAGGUUGCAAGGUAAUCAAGUCCAUAACCACACUUGCUCU
ensembl:lncRNA C5orf64 chromosome 5 putative open reading frame 64